AUUGAACGCUGGCGGCAUGCCUUACACAUGCAAGUCGAACGGUAACAGGUCUUCGGAUGCUGACGAGUGGCGAACGGGUGAGUAAUACAUCGGAACGUGCCUAGUAGUGGGGGAUAACUACUCGAAAGAGUGGCUAAUACCGCAUGAGAUCUAUGGAUGAAAGCAGGGGAUCGCAAGACCUUGUGCUACUAGAGCGGCCGAUGGCAGAUUAGGUAGUUGGUGGGAUAAAAGCUUACCAAGCCGACGAUCUGUAGCUGGUCUGAGAGGACGAUCAGCCACACUGGGACUGAGACACGGCCCAGACUCCUACGGGAGGCAGCAGUGGGGAAUUUUGGACAAUGGGCGCAAGCCUGAUCCAGCAAUGCCGCGUGCAGGAUGAAGGCCUUCGGGCUGUAAACUGCUUUUGUACGGAACGAAAAGCCCUGGGUUAAUACCCUGGGGUCAUGACGGUACCGUAAGAAUAAGCACCGGCUAACUACGUGCCAGCCGCCGCGGUAAGAC
rnacentral:rRNA from 1 species